ACGGAAGGCAGCAGUGGGGAAUAUUGGACAAUGGGGGAAACCCUGAUCCAGCGACGCCGCGUGAGUGAAGAAGUAUUUCGGUAUGUAAAGCUCUAUCAGCAGGGAAGAAAAUGACGGUACCUGACUAAGAAGCACCGGCUAAAUACGUGCCAGCAGCCGCGGUAAUACGUAUGGUGCAAGCGUUAUCCGGAUUUACUGGGUGUAAAGGGAGCGUAGACGGAUGGCUAAGUCUGAUGUGAAAGGUGAGGGCUCAACCCUUAAACUGCAUUGGAAACUGGUCAUCUAGAGUGUCGGAGAGGUAAGUGGAAUUCCUAGUGUAGCGGUGAAAUGCGUAGAUAUUAGGAGGAACACCAGUGGCGAAGGCGGCUUACUGGACGAUAACUGACGUUGAGGCUCGAAAGCGUGGGGAGCAAACAGGAUUAGAUACCCUGGUA
rnacentral:rRNA from 1 species